AUAACUUUCAACAACGGAUCUCUUGGCUCUGGCAUCGAUGAAGAACGCAGCGAAAUGCGAUAAGUAAUGUGAAUUGCAGUAUUCAGUGAAUCAUCGAAUCUUUGAACGCACAUUGCGCCCGCCAGUAUUCUGGCGGGCAUGCCUGUUCGAGCGUCAUUU
rnacentral:rRNA from 1 species